rnacentral:rRNA from 1 species
AGAGUUUGAUCCUGGCUCAGGAUGAACGCUGGCGGCGUGCUUAACACAUGCAAGUCGAACGAUCCUUCGGGAUAGUGGCGGACGGGUGAGUAACGCGUGGGAAUCUGCCCUCAGGAGGGGGAUAACGGCUGGAAACGGCCGCUAAUACCCCAUAUGCCGAGAGGUGAAAUGAAUUUCGCCUGAGGAUGAGCCCGCGUCUGAUUAGCUAGUUGGUGGGGUAAAGGCCUACCAAGGCGACGAUCAGUAGCUGGUCUGAGAGGAUGAUCAGCCACACUGGGACUGAGACACGGCCCAGACUCCUACGGGAGGCAGCAGUGGGGAAUUUUCCGCAAUGGGCGAAAGCCUGACGGAGCAACGCCGCGUGAGGGAUGAAGGCCUCUGGGCUGUAAACCUCUUUUCUCAAGGAAGAAGAACUGACGGUACUUGAGGAAUAAGCCACGGCUAAUUCCGUGCCAGCAGCCGCGGUAAUACGGGAGUGGCAAGCGUUAUCCGGAAUUAUUGGGCGUAAAGCGUCCGCAGGCGGCCUUGUAAGUCUGUUGUUAAAGCGUGGAGCUCAACUCCAUUUAAGCAAUGGAAACUACAAGGCUGGAGUGUGGUAGGGGCAGAGGGAAUUCCCGGUGUAGCGGUGAAAUGCGUAGAUAUCGGGAAGAACACCAGUGGCGAAGGCGCUCUGCUGGGCCAUAACUGACGCUCAUGGACGAAAGCCAGGGGAGCGAAAGGGAUUAGAUACCCCUGUAGUCCUGGCCGUAAACGAUGAACACUAGGUGUCGGGGGAAUCGACCCCCUCGGUGUCGUAGCCAACGCGUUAAGUGUUCCGCCUGGGGAGUACGCACGCAAGUGUGAAACUCAAAGGAAUUGACGGGGGCCCGCACAAGCGGUGGAGUAUGUGGUUUAAUUCGAUGCAACGCGAAGAACCUUACCAGGGUUUGACAUCCUGCGAAUCCCUUGGAAACGAGGUAGUGCCUUCGGGAGCGCAGUGACAGGUGGUGCAUGGCUGUCGUCAGCUCGUGUCGUGAGAUGUUGGGUUAAGUCCCGCAACGAGCGCAACCCACGUCUUUAGUUGCCAGCAUUCAGUUGGGCACUCUAGAGAGACCGCCGGUGAUAAACCGGAGGAAGGUGUGGAUGACGUCAAGUCAUCAUGCCCCUUACAUCCUGGGCUACACACGUACUACAAUGCUACGGACAAAGGGCAGCAAGCUCGCGAGAGUUAGCAAAUCCCAUAAACCGUGGCUCAGUUCAGAUCGUAGGCUGCAACUCGCCUACGUGAAGGAGGAAUCGCUAGUAAUCGCAGGUCAGCAUACUGCGGUGAAUACGUUCCCGGGCCUUGUACACACCGCCCGUCACACCAUGGAAGUUGGCCAUGCCCGAAGUCGUUACUCCAACCCUUGUGGAGGAGGACGCCGAAGGUGGGGCUGAUGACUGGGGUGAAGUCGUAACAAGGUA